AGAAGGUUAGUCUUGGUAAGAUGCAGGGUUGUCAAUCCUGAGAAGUUAUUAAAUAACACUUUCUU
rnacentral:tRNA from 1 species